rnacentral:rRNA from 1 species
CACCGCGGUUAUACGAGAGGCCCGAGCUGAUAGACCUCGGCGUAAAGGGUGGUUAAGGAACUAAAAAACUAAAGUCAAACACCCCCAAAAUUGUAAAAAGUAAUUGGGGACAGGAAGAACACCUACGAAAGUGACUUUACCAAACUGAAACCACGAAAGCUAUGAGA